ACGCUCUCGCCUUCCCUUCACCAAAACGCUCUCGCUCUUCACCUCAGAGCUCUCUCGCAUAACCCGAACCUCAGGCUCUCUCUCGUUCUCUCGUUCUCUCGUUCCGUCGUUCCAAAAACUACCGAUCUCGUUCUCCAGGUUUCUCCAGGGCUAAUUUGCUUUGAAGAAGGUCUGCUUCUGAUUUGCUUUGAAGAAGGGCUAAUUUGCUUUGAAGAAGGUCUGCUUCAGAGGGUUUAUAUUCUCCAAAAUUCUGGGUGAAGAAGUCUCUACCGGAGGAUUUUCAAAAGAAAGCUGAAGCAUCUCUAUUAACGGGUUUGGUAUCAGCUUCCCUUGCCACACUCACAUGUUAUCCUUUGGACACUGUGAGAAGACAGAUGCAAAUGAAGGGCACACCUUACAAGUCGGUUUUGGAUGCCAUUCCAGGUAUUGUGGAGCGUGAUGGACUUGUAGGCUUAUAUAGGGGUUUCUUGCCUAAUGCUUUGAAAACUUUACCGAACAGCAGCAUUAGGCUCACUACUUACGACAUGGUCAAGCGUCUCAUUUCAACCAGCCAAAAAGAGUUUCAGAGAAUUGUGGAGGAAAAUUGCAGUAAACACCGUUAAAAGGCUGUCAGUUGAACAGUCCAACAUUUUGUGCUGCUGUAUUGUAUUUGGCUCACCAAACUACGCGAGUACUAGGAGGCUUAACCUUCACCGAAUUUUGUUCCCGACAUCAUGUGGGACUUGUAUUGUGAGGACUGAGCUGCCCAGUGAAUGCUUUGUCCCGAGGUUCUAAUUUUGUAGGACAAUCAUUAGUGAGGACUGAGCUGCCCAGUGAAUGCUUUGUCCCGAGGUUCUAUUUUUGUAGGACAAUCAUUAGUUCUAGUUCUAGUUAGGUUGCCUAUUUUUUGUGGAAUUUUGUAUUCCACCUGGCUAUGCAGUGAGUUUGAGAUUAUGUUAGGUAGAAAUCCUUGUUGUAAUGUAAUUGCUACAGGUAAUGGAAGCUGUUCUGAUUGUAAUUUUCAUGUAGUAAUUCUUUUCUUGGCUCAGUUAUAUCAGAAUUGAACACACGAUAUUAUAACA